AAGGGGGAGUCAGGAGCGAUUCAUUUCAAGGGGGCUUGGGGACAAUUCCGGUUUGGUUUUCUGAAAAUGCGUAGGGUUGUUUUCCCAAACUUCCGAGCUACUCUGCUCUUCGUCCCAGGAAGGCCAAGCAAAUAAAAGUCCGGGGAAAGUUCCUUUAACUUCCUUCCUGCGCCCUCGACAAGGGCUGCGAAGAGGAAGAGGUCAUUUCCCAGGGAAGCACCGGGCAGGGGCCGAGAGCUGCGCCCAGCCUGCAGGGAUGGAGGCGCUGGGCGGAGGGCUGGCUGCAGACGUAGGCCCCGGAAAGCCCCUUCCCCCCACCCUACCUCAGGCCAACGGCGCCUGGAGCUGGCCCCGCUGCAGCCCUUGCUGUUUGAAGUCCCGCGGCAAAGCGGCGACAACACCGGCGCAGCCCGGCGCCCCGACCCCGGCCGCCGAGCUCCCUCCCUGCAGCACCCCGGCACCCCAGCGCCCGGCCCAACCCGGCCCGCCACAUCCGCGCCCGCGCGGCCCAGCCCGAGCCCCGGAACGAUUCCGAGCCCCACGCCGGCGCCCGGUGGCGGGAGGGGGCGCCGAGCCCGCGGCUUACCUGCGUGCUGGAUCCCCGGGCUGCUCGGAGGGGUGCGGGGCGCAGGCGAGUGCGGCCCGCAGACUCUAACUUUGUUGCUCUCGGGACGGCGCAGUCGUCACUUCCUCGCGGAGCGGGCGGUGCGGCCCGGGCUGUGCGGCCCGGGCUGUGACCCAGCGGCUCGCGCGGUGGCGCGCAGGGCCCUGCAGCCAGCCGCCCCGCCCGCGCCCCCGGCUCCGCGCGCCCCUGGCCCCAGGCGCCGUCUCCCCACUCUGCGCGCCCUCGGCUGCGGGGUAGCGGGCAGCCCUGCGCUGCCGGCCGCCUAGCCUGCACCCCCCGCCCUGGGAGGGAAGCCUCGCUCCAGCCGCGUCGUUUCCGCGCCGAAGUGCGAUCCGGGGCCCCGCGCUGGAGUCCCCUGCUCUCAGGUGGCAGUUGCUGGAGUACCAGGGCACCAAGUGGAGGAUGUGGUAGACAGCCUCUAAGAUGCGCCCCCUGCCAAUGAUCUCUGCCUCCAGGGAGGAGCUAGAAGGCAGAGAGAAAGCCACUCAGGACUUCCCAUCCCAGAAGAUAAAGGUGAGGAAAGCAGCAGCAGCAGCCACAGGCCAGUAUUCCAGAGCAGCUUUGGGUUCCUGUCAAGACCUGCUUUGAGAAGGAGGUGGCUGUGGGGCUGGAGGGCUGGGCCUGUUCCUGAGCUGGCUGCUGGCAGCACAGCAAUGAGGCAACAUUGAGAACUGCGACACGAGGCCCAGUCCUGCUACUAAACCAACUGUGUGGACUUGCAUAGUCACUUCACCCCUCGGGCCUCCAUUUCUCCACUUUGGAAAGCAGUGUUGGGACGAUGUUAAGGGUUUGCAACCUUCCAACAUGAAGACUUAUUUUUAAAAGCAAAACAUUUCAAAGAGUCCACAUGACAGUAGUGUUCAUUUUGGCAUCUGUUGAUUUAACAAAUACAAAAUUAGGCUGGGUGUAGUUGCUAACGCCUGUAAUUCCAGCACUUUGGGAGACCGAGGCAGGAGGAUCACCUGAAAUCAGGAGUUCGAGACCAGCCUGGCCAACAUGGUGGAACUCCAUCACUACCAAAAAUACAAAAAUUAGCUGGGCUUGGUGGCACGUGCCUGUAAUCCCAGCUACUCGGGAGGCUGAGGCAGGAGAAUCAUUUGAACCCGGGAGGCAGAGGUUGCAGUGACCUGAGAUUGCACCACUGUACUCCAGCCUGGGCAACAGGGCAAGACUCCAUUAAAAAAAAAAAUACAAAAUUAGGCAUGGUGGUGUUCGUCUGUAGUCCCAUCUAUUUGAGAGGUUAAGGCGGGAGGAUCACUUGAGCUCAGGAGUUUGAGUUUGCAGUGAGCUGUGGUCUGCCUGUGAAUAGCUGCUGCAGUACAGCUUGGGCAACAUAGUGAGAUUCCAUCUCUAGUCUUUAAAAAAAGGAAAAAUACGGCCGGGCGCGGUGGCUCACACUUGUAAUCCUAGCACUUUGGGAGGUCGAGGAGAGAGGAUCACCUGAGGUCAGGAGUUCGAGACCAGCUUGGCCAACAUGGCGAAACCCAUCUCUACUAAAAAUACAAAAAUUAGCUGGGUGUGGUGGCGCACGCCUGUAAUCCUAGCUACUCAGGAGGCUGAGGCAGGAGAAUUGCUUGAACCAGGAGGGAGAGGUUGCAGUGAGCCAAGAUCGUACCACUGCGCUCCAGCUUGGGCAACAUAGAGAGAUCCCAUCUCUAUUUUUUUAAAAAGGAAAAAUACAAGGGAUACCAGAGCACUGGGCCAGUGCUUGUUAUAAAGUCCAUCAAUGGGCCAGGCACGGAGGCUCACACCUGUAAUCCCAACACUUUGGGAAGCCGAAGUGGG
rnacentral:lncRNA from 1 species